GGGAGCUCACGCAUAUCUCCACACCGCCAGCGCAGGGGACAUGCGGGCUGCACAACGCCAUCCCUCCCAAAAGCCUUGGAUGCUCCUACCUGCCUGCCGGGUCGCCUAGUCUUUUGGAAUGACUGCUGUAAAAGGGGAUCAGGAUUGCCACCUUGAACUACUGACAGCCAAGACAUGUUUUGUGUCUGGUACUAAAACUCUUCCAAAAAUUCUCCUCUUCUGUCCAUCUAGCAUCUUCACAAUGUUCAGCCCUGUCCUCUUGCACAGAAAAAAGCCCAGGAUGUUCAUGUCACACACCUUCAGUCCCAAUCCUGCUGUUUCACCUGAUUUCACCCCAAUCCUAAUUCAGCCAUGAAGAUAUCUGUCCUUCCAGAACAUCUCAUGGUCAAGAGCAGGAGACUUGCCAGAUUUCUUCCCUAUCAGAAGUCUUCUCCCUGUCCAUUGGGACCUAUGCACCAAGGCUGAGAAGGAAGGCCACCAAGAUUUCAUCUGCAUGACCCGAAAGGACUUCUCCCAGCCUAUUUCUUAGAAAAACAGAUCAACUCUUCUUCUUGAAGAUUUCUAUGCAGACAGCAAUGUAAACAAAGCCAAAAAAGAAAAAGCCAAAAAUGCAAUCCUUCUUCCAGAUGAUGAUUGCCCAGAAAGCACGCACAAAGGCAGCAGGUGACACGCCAUGAAUAGAUGCUGGAUUUACAAGAAAGUGUCCAGAGCGUCAACAUCUCCCAAAGCCAUGGAGUUACAAUGCCAAGAAAUAUGUCAGCUCCUGCUACAUUUUCCUGGGACCACACAACAGGAGAAGAAAGAGACAUUCAGCUCCCAAAACCUGAGCACGACCUCACAGGAAGAGUUGCUUCAGUCCUAUUCCAGUCUCUCCCAUGUUUCCAACAUGCCUUCUUCAUGCCCUUCGGUCGCGUCCAAAAGACGGCAGCCACCAAGAUCAGAGGUCCCACACCCCCUUAAGCUACAAAGCCCAUGGUAAGAAGAAUAACCAGAUCCACUUAAUGCCAGCAGCUGCCUGCAUUUCGAAGAACACUGUGUGCAGUAGUGAGCCUGAUCCUCACUACUUACAGGUAAUUAGAGUGGAUCGUGCUUUCACCAAAAAUUCAUUUAGAGCAAAAUCCCUCAAGCCCUAACAGGAAAAAGGGAGUACACAAUGCUAUCCACUUCACUGAUAUUUUAUUGUUUGCCAUCAUUAUUUGGAAUUUUCCAGGGACUGAUCAUUUCAGGUUAUUGUGGACAAGGCCCUUAAAAAUCCUCUCUGCAACAUUC